GCGUGCGUCAUAUUCAAGCGACACCAUUCAAAAGCAUUAGCGGUGGAACAAAAGCGUACAGAGUGAGAACACAGUGAUAAAACUCCAAAAUAAAACAUCUUUCUCCACAAAAAUGGGUCCGAUUGAGCUCCUGCACAUGUCCGUGUUCUCACAGAGUUUCUCUCCGUGUGGACGCUUUCUAGCAGCUGGGAAUAACUACGGAGAGAUCGCUGUGUUCAGUCUUUCAGCUGCUCUGAGUCCUGAUGCAACAGACGCGAGUCAGAAACCUGUCCUCACCUUCAGUGCCCAUGAAGGUCCCGUGUUUUCGCUGCUGUCCACAGACAUGCACCUCCUCAGUGCAGGGAAUGGAGAGAUCAGCGCCUGGAGCUGGGCGGAGCUUGGCAAGAAGAACCCCAAAGCUGUGUGGACGAAGAGACCGGAGUAUAAAUCCAGUCUGGAAAUCCCUGAGAUCAACCACAUGAUCAUCAACAGCAGAGAUAACAGCUUGGUGGUCGGUGGGGGAGACAAUAAUAUCCACAUCAUGGACAUGGAAACUGGAACCUUCAAGUCAGUCCUGCAGGGUCACACAGAUUAUAUUCACUGUUUAUCUCUGAGAGAAAGAGAGGGAGAGAUCCUCUCAGGAGCAGAGGAUGGAGCUGUGAGAAUGUGGGACUGGAGGAUGGGCCGCAGUGUGCACUGUGUGGAGAUUUAUAAAUACAAGGAAUGCGCUCGCCCCCAGUACGGGAAGUGGAUCAGCUGCCUGGCGACGGAUUCUGAUUGGAUGCUGUGUGGUGGAGGCCCCGCCCUCUCUCUGUGGCAUCUCCGCUCCAUGUCUCCCACCUCCAUCUUCUCACUGAGUGGCUCUCAGAGGGAAGCCGUGUUCCACCAGGACUUGAUCUAUGCAGUAGGUGAGGGUCCACAUGUGUCUCACUGUCUGCUGGGAGGAAGUGUGAAGGCUCAGAUCCCCUGCACUCCUUCAUCACUGAACACACUCGCCCUGAACCUCGGCACCACUGAACACAGGGGUUCAAUAUGACGUCGGUCCACCCUUUGCAGCUAUAACAGCUUCAACUCUUCUGGGAAGGCUGUCCACAAGGUUUAGGAGUGUGUUUAUGGGAAUUUUUGACCAUUCUUCCAGAAGCGCAUUUGUGAGGUCACACACUGAUGUUGGACGAGAAGGCCUGGCUCUCAGUCUCCGCUCUAAUUCAUCCCAAAGGUGUUCUAUCGGGUUGAGGUCAGGACUCUGUGCAGGCCAGUCAAGUUCCUCCACACCAGACUCUGUCAUCCAUGUCUUUAUGGACCUUGCUUUGGUCACUGGUGCACAGUCAUGUUGGAAGAGGAAGGGGUCAGCUCCAAACUGUUCCCACAAAGUUGGGAGCAUGGAAUUGUCCAAAAUGUCUUGGUAUGCUGAAGCAUUCAGAGUUCCUUUCACUGGAACUAAGGGGCCAAGCCCAGGUCCUGAAAAACAACCCCACACCAUAAUCCCCCCUCCACCAAACUUUACACUUGGCACAAUGCAGUCAGACAAGUACCGUUCUCCUGGCAACCGCCAAACCCAGACUCGUCCAUCAGAUUGCCAGAUGGAGAAGCGCGAUUCGUCCCUCCAGAGAACGCGUCUCCACUGCUCUAGAGUCCAGUGGCGGCGUGCUUUACACCACUGCAUCCGACGCUUUGCAUUGCACUUGGUGAUGUAUGGCUUGGAUGCAGCUGCUCGGCCAUGGAAACCCAUUCCAUGAAGCUCUCUGCACACUGUUCUUCAGCUCAUCUGAAGGCCACAUGAAGUUUGGAGGUCUGUAGCGAUGGACUCUGCAGAAAGUUGGCGACCUCUUCGCACUAUGCGCCUCAGCAUCCGCUGACCCCGCUCCGUCAGUUUACGUGGCCUACCACUUCGUGGCUGAGUUGCUGUCGUUCCCAAACACUUCCACGUUCUUAUAAUACAGCUGACAGUUGACUGUGGAAUAUUUAGGAGCGAGGAAAUUUCACGACUGGAUUUGUUGCACAGGUGGCAUCCUAUCACAGUUCCACGCUGGAAUUCACUGAGCUCCUGAGAGCGACCCAUUCUUUCACAAAUGUUUGUAAAAACAGUCUGCAUGCCUAGGUGCUUGAUUUUAUACACCUGUGGCCAUGGAAGUGAUUGGAACACCUGAUUCUGAUUAUUUGGAUGGGUGAUGACCGUCGCAGGCAGCAGCAACCAGAUCGACGUUUUCACCAACUUCUCCUACAGAGCCUUCUCUCUGUCCUUCUGACCAUCUCACACACACCUCCUCACACACACCUCCUCAGCGCUCGCUCAGUCUGCACGCAGGGCUCUACCACCAGAAAUUAAAGCAGCGUUGUGGAAUAUUCCCAGCCCCCUACUGGCUGAGAGAGGCAUUACAAUGACAGUAAAGUCAUAAAUACGCUGUAAGCUGUAAGGAAAAUUGUAAACAGAAGCAGGAAGUGAUGAAACUGGUCAGAUAUAUCACAUGAAAAUAUUACACAUGACUGUUUUAAAGCUGUGGAAACAUUUUUCAGUUUCACUAAUCGCUCCUCUAAAGAGAAAACCCCUAACAGGAGAAGGUGUGGGGGGAAACACUUUUUUCCUUUAAUAAAUUCACUUCAACUCUAAGAAUCCAUUGUUUGUAAUAAAAAAAACUAAUAAUAAUGUUCUUUUAUUCACAGUGGAUUUUUAUAAUAAAAUAUCUUUCAUACAA